AUUCAAAAAUUUCAAUUGUUCAUCAAGAAUCUACAUAUCACAUAAACAACAGCUGGAGUUUACAAUUCCUUUUAUUAGCUCAUCAAAUAUGUACUGGAGUAUCACUUGCUAAUAUUACAGUAACUGGUUGUACUGUUAGUAAAUGCAGCACUUGUUAUUCAUCAACAAAUGUAUCCAUUAGUAGUGGUUCUUAUGAUAACAUUUCCAUUAUUGUUAUUAUGAAUCUUCCAUCAAGAGAGAUACUGGAUACUACUGUCAUCUUAUACUAUCAAAAUGGAGUAAAAAUUCACAGCAACUCUGUCAAAAUCAGUACUAAUAAGCUUCGUCAGUUGAGGUUGAUUAAUACUACAAUCAAUGGAAUAUGUCUUCAGUUCCAUUUUGUCAAUGGCAGUACAACUAACAAUGUUUAUAUUCACAUUACAGAUUAUGCUGAGCCAAUUUAUCAACUGGUGUAUUACAAUAUAUCUCGUAAUGAUCAACUGAACUUUACUCAGUGCAUCACUGACAUACCAGCUGGUAAUAACUUAACACUCUAUGUGUGUGAAUCACUGGAGGAGUGUACUACUACUCCUGCUGCUGUAUUAACUGGUAUCAAUAUUAGUGAAUCUACUAUAGUGUCUGUGAAAACAGAAUUUACAGAAGUUUCAUCAACAGUGCUUAUAAAUAAUUGUAUGCAAUUGGAAAAUCAAACUG